CACACGUUCUCGGACACUUGCCGGUUUCACUUCGCUCGUGUUUUAAAUUUCAGUGUUGAAAUUGAACUUGUGUUUUGUGAUUUUAGUGCGGAACUUUUCUGGAGUAUCAUCAAAUGAAUUAAAACAAUUAAAGAAAUCUUUCAAAAUGUUAAAAUGGACCGUAAUUAAUAAACGAGCGACCGAUAAAGACGAUCUUCAAUCGCCACAACAACCAAAAUCAUCGGAAAAACCUAAAAGACGACGUUCGAGUACUUCUAGAAGAUCAUCAACGACGAAACGAUCGAAUAAUAAUCAUAACAGAAGGAGUUUAAAUUUGAGCCAUGAUAAAGAAAAUCGGUUUACUUCGACACCGAUUAAAUCGAAUGAUUAUUUUCAAGUUGAAGCUUUAAGAGAUGUUAGUAAUAUAACGCCGAAAGAAACGAAAACGAAAGUUUUAAGUGUUGAUGGGGAAAAAUUGUUUUCGCCGAAACAUGUAAAAUAUAAAAAGAAAAAACGGUGUUUAGAUCCAAAUCAUAAAGAUUGCCCGAUUAAUUAUUUUAAAGCUUUCGAAUCAGUUGAUUCGCAUAUUAGAGGGGAUAAUUGUUUAUGUAACGAUGAUUUGAAUAAAAAUGUGCACGAAAAUAUCAAGAAUGAUGUUGUUAAUAGAAUUCCGUUGUUAUCGAGAAUUUUGCCAACAACAAAUAACGAUGAUCCUCCAUAUAAAAAACCGAAAAUUGAUCACGUUAAUGAUUUUUUAAAUCAAAUAGCUUUUAUUCAAUCGCCUGAAGAUAAAGGUACGAUAGAUAUUGAUGAAAAAGAUUUAAAAGUUUCACCUUUAGUACAAAGAUUUUUAGAUUUACGAUUUUCGAAAAAAGAUCAACACGAAAACUCAUCAUACAUAAAUGAGCUGUCUUUAGAUGAACUUGUAAAUGUUAUAUUAGAUAAUUCUGGGACGAAUGAUGAUAAAAAACAUCCGGUUAAAAAAACUAGAAUGAUCGAGCUUGAAAAUGAACUUAACGAAUCUCGCGAAGAAAACUUAUUAAACGCUAAACAAGAAAAACGUAUUAGUUUUUCCGAUAAAAGUUCGAUGGAUUCUGGAUUUCGAUCGAACUUUGAUGAAAUCUGUAAAUUACCUGAGAUAAUUAACUGUGAUAAAACCAUCAUUAACCUCGAGGAAACUUUUAAUGAGAGAUGUGUUGAUGAUAUUAGACCUAGAAGUAGAAAGAGGAGUUUAUCUCAAGAUGAUGCUAGCUUAUUUACAUUAAAAAGGCAAAAAUGUGUUAGAAGAAGAAGGUUUACUGAUGACGAAGCAAAACCAAGUUCCGGUUGGACACCGCAAAGAUUACAUCAAGAUUUAAACGCAACUUUUUCAAUUAACGAUGAUGUUAACGAUGAUAAUUCGUUUGAUUCGAGUGUUAUGGAGAAAGAUUUAGGAAAUAAAAAGGAUUUAAUCGAAACGACUCCUUGUUUUAAUAAUGGCACGGGAAUUAGGAGGUGUUUACUCUUCGAUUCACCACCUAACCAAAAAAAUAACUCAAUUUCCGGUUGGAUGGAUUUAGAAAUUAAAUUUCGAAACAACGAAUUAUUAUUAACAGUUUUCCGGUGUGGUAAUUUAUUCAGAUCGGAUGGAAAACCGGCGAACGCUUAUAUCAAGGUCUCCUUGAGCCAACGCGAUAAUCGAAAAGGACGAGGAACUUUACAGAGGACCGCCGUCCAAGCCGAAUCCAACAAGCCGACCUUCAACCACACCUUCAAUUUAGCCGUUCUUCGGGACGAAGACGUUUACGAAAGGGUUUAUAUUGAAGUUUGGCAUCGAGAUAGAAUACGAAGAAAAAGCGAAUUCUUGGGAUGUAUGUCUUUUGCGGCCGAAAAUGUCAUUACAAAGGAUGUUAAAGGCUGCUUUUACCUACUUCCACAAUCCACCGGAAGAUGUAAAAAUGUUCCGAUGACCCUGGACAUUCUACCGGAUUACAAUCCUCAUCUUGAUAAAACGAUGUGUGAUAGUCAUUCAAGUAUCGAUGAAGUUGCCACGGCAGUCUUCACAACCGGUGAAGACCUCGAAGACCUUCGAAAAACAACAAUUGGAUGUAAAGCCGCCUUGAGCGAACAACAAAAGCUUGCGGAUGAGAAUCUUUUUCUCAGGUACUUGGAGUUGGAUCCAACGGAAGGUCCUGAGGCGAUACCAGCCGCUCUUCAACGUAAAGCGACCGGGAAUAAGAACGGUCGCACUCCUUUCACAACCACCAAAAAGUUGAUGCGACAACCCAAGACCGGUUUUGGAUUCUCGGUGGUCUGGACGCAUCCUCCGAGAAUUGAAAGGGUCGAAAAGGGGCUCCCCGCGGAUAAGGCGGGAAUCUUGCCUGGAGAUUACGUCAUUUUUGUCGAUAAACAUAAUGUGGUUAUGAUGCCCGAGAUUGAUAUUCUUAAUUUAAUCAGGUCAUAUGGUAAUCAAUUAACAUUAGAAAUAUUCAGAAGAAACUCUUCAAGGAAUGGUUCAGUGCCUAGCGUAAAACCACUGAUGAGUUUCGAAAAUAUCGGUGGAGGUUUACCAGCUCCAUCUUUAUCGACCCAAAGAAGACCUUCAACGGUUUGUUCGACGACUAAUACAGCAUCGGUCGAUUACAGCAGAAAAAAACUCCAAUUACCUCAAAUCACGUUUAAUUCGGAGAAAUUAACCAGUAACAUUGACGACUCGAGAAAAAAAUCGAUCCUUCAGUUAAUAAGCAAAGAACAACAGUACGCCACUGGUCUUCAAUUUGCAAUUACAAGAUUCGUUUCGGCAUUGGCAGAAAGGAAAGAUCUCGUGACGCAACGAGAACAUAAAGUGCUUUUUCAAAAUUGUGAUGAGCUUCUUCAUAUAACGGAAGAAAUCUUGGAACAUUUAGUACAAGAGGAUGGCGAUUCUCAAGUUCACAUCCUACCAAAAAUUUACUUUGCAAAAUUAAGUGAAAUGACCUCGGCGUACAAAAAAUACUGUUCUGGGAUAAAAAAAUCCGAUUGCGUUUUGGCAAAUAAAUUAAAAAAUUCAAAUUCAGAAUUUGUAAGAUUUAUACAAGUUCCUGCGAUUCCUAGAAGAAGACCGGAUAUAACGGCGUUCAUCCAUAAGCCUUUAGAACAUUUUAGAGAUGUUCUUAAGUCGUUUAAUGUUAUCCUAAGCCAAACUAAACCCAAUCAUGAAGAUUAUGCUGUGAUAUCACAAAUCGUGCACGAUUUACAAAUAACAUAUAGAGAAAUUACAAGUGAAGGUGGGAUGAUGGAACCAAUAGGAGAAGGUCGACCUUUAUUAUCAGUACAAGAUCUUGAAAAUAGAUUAGUAUUUACUAAGUGCAAACCAUUCGUUUUAAGUAAACCAGGUAGACAAUGGAUAUUUGGUGGUGAUCUUAGUAGAGUUGAAGGUCGCAAUGUUAGACAAUACUGGGCGUUGUUGUUUACCGAUAUUUUGCUUUUUGCGAAAGUUUCAAGAGAUAGGGUGUUGUUUAUUUUUGAAGAUCCACUUCCUUUGUCGCAUAUAACAGAUUUAACUUUUAAUGUUAGAAAAAAAGUUAACGAAUUUCGGAUAACGGUAGAACCUGGUGGAAAAACAGCUAGCAGCCCAACUGUUCAUUGCGGUCCAGAUUUAAGUAGAACACCUAGAAAGAACCCAAACAAAAAGUGUAUCCUUCUCCGAGCACCAACGACGGAAUUAAAAGCUGUUUGGCAAAACCUUCUUCAACGGCAGAUCUUCCACGUUAGCGCGGUUAUGGACGGCAGCGCCUUUAGCAGCCCGUUAGAAUCACCAGACGUCCCAAUCACUUCUUCGGUGGUCACGCUACAAUCCGCCGAUUCGCUGUCCAUACGUCGGCAGAAUAUACGACUCGUAAAGGAGAAAAGUGACUCUCAAAAGCACAUAGACGAACUUAUAGAGCACAAAUGCAAACAACUGGGCAAAUCUGCCACCGGUCAUAAAGGAAGUGCCAUUCACCUCGAGCAAUGGAUGAAAGGUCACCUGGGUACCACGACGACACAAUCGGCGCAAUCCCCCGAAGAAGAAAACGGUGAUUUUGAAGUUUGGACCGAGGAGAUGCUUAGGAAACGAUCCGCAGAACUCCAAAUCGUUCUUAAUCAGAAGAAUACCAUGUUUCGAUGUGAAUCCGCGCUCGAAGAAAUCAAUAUUUCGGAAUCCGAUGAUCAUAGUCCGUCCAAAAGCACCACCUCUGAAAGUCAAGUUACGGUUCGGUCAAGUCCUGUAGUUCCAGAAACUCUAUCAGUUUGCAGACAGUGUCACAGAACUUGCUUGACCAAUCAAAAUGGAACUUCAAUUUUUUUCCCUAAUAAUAAUCAAGACGUAUUCGGAGAAAAGAUAAUGACUCAAUCAAACGAUGAUUUAGGAGGUGGAUGGAGACCAUUAGUUUUAAUGGGAUUGACAGCGAUGAAUCCAGCAAGAAGUUUAAUAACGCCAGAUCCCUUCGCAGCUCCAGUUCCGAAAAUAUCAAUUGUGCCUCCGACUCCUGAUCUAACAAAAAAAGUUUGCGAAGACAACAAUUACGAUAAAACUAAUUGUAAUUGCACGGAAGGAACCAAUCAAACCAACAAUGAUAAUUCACCGGAUUCUCCUCAAACUGAAGACCAACCAUAUCACUCCUUAAAUAGUUCAAAUUUAACUCUGAGAAGAUAUGGAACAGUUUCGAGUUUAGAACGGGUUGGAUCCGAUGAAAUUAUUGAGGAGGAAGAAGAAGCCAACGAUAAUUCUAGUGAAGAAGAUGAUGAUGAGGUGUUUGAAGAAAACCAAGAAAAAGGAUUUUAUAACGAAGCCUUUAAUAAUUCAGGAAUUAGAGGAUGGACUGCAAGAGCCGGAUCUUUCGUAGCCGAAAAAAUGUCUUUUCUUGAAAGAUUAGGUGAAGAUUAUAAAGUUGGAAGUAGAUUUUUCGAACGAUAUUUAAGAUCUUCUGAAAUACAAGUAAACGGUGAAGAUGGGCAAGAAGAAGAAACAUCCGGGGCAACUUCCGGCGAAGAUGUUUGGGGUACUCCAACAAGUGGUGGUGAAUUAGAUGACCCCUUAAGUUCACCUUUGGAAGGGAGGCGUUCGCCUAAUGAUGGAUCAUUAUCAUCUAACGACGACAACACUGAGCUAAUGAUGGAUGAGCUUUUGAUGACUCCUCCGGUUACCAGCGCUGCAAUAAGAGGGUUAUUACCUAGAAGAACAUUAGAACCUUUAAUGGAAGAAGAAUAUUCUGAUACUUAUACUUCAUCAUCUUCUUCUUCUUCUUCAGAACGCGGUCAAACCGAUCCUUCGGGAUCACCAGAACAGACCUCAACGGUUCUUGUCUUUUUUUACAUUGUGGGCAGGACAACGGAACUGGAAGUGCUGCUGACAAAUGUUCGACUGCUGCAGAAAGAGACACGCCAAGCGUGGCCGCGACAGCUUCCGAUUUCGAAGAAUUAAAUGUUCAAAGGCGGGAGGCAGUGGUAGUGGCGGAGUCAAGUUCUUGCAGCUCGACUCCUUUACCAAGGAUCCAAAGAUCGGACAGUUACAGACACAUCAUCGAUCAGGAGGACGAGAAUCCGAACUUCUUUGCCCGACUGAAACCCACGGUGAAAUUCGUAAAUAUUGAACGAAUCCCAAGAUCAAAAGGCAUUAAGUUGUUGGAGUUUUUUAAUAUGAAACGAGAAAGAAAAAUUCACGAGUCUUUUACGGGGGCCCCGCCAAUGAUCAAUAUGUACAGCAGAGAAGAUUUCUUCGACGAAGUCGAGGAAUACGAUGCGAAACCAAUUUCAACAAAAAUUUUAAAA
rnacentral:misc_RNA from 1 species